AAGAAAUAAGUUUACUAUGUCGCUACUUGAAGCAAAUGCCAAAUCUUGAAGUUCUGAAUCUGGGAAAACCACUAAUUGAACCUCGUCUUUGGCCUUUACCAAAAAUGAAACUGAAAGAGAUUCGAUUCGAAGACAUGUCAUUGAGAUCGCCAGUCUUCCAGUUCUUACCUUUGUUCCCUGAUUUACAAACUAUCCGUUUGGAUAUUCGUUAAGUCAAGGAUAAAGGUUUUUCUGAUUCGUAUACGCAUCUGAAUGUUCAAGAUGUAGUUUUGGACAUAAACGAUCAUCAAGACUCACCCGCCGGAUUACUGAAUCCAAUUAAAAGUAUUUUGGUCAAGUUCCCUAAUUGUACAAACCUGUACAGCGAUUUCGUACGGACGAUAACUAAAGAAGAUCUUAUCGAGAUAAUCAAAAUUUUGCCGAAUUUAACUCUUAUUGUCUUGAAUAGGAAGAAUUGUGGAGAUGCAAAUACUAUUGAGACACUCGAUAAGUUCUGUAAAUCAGUCGGUCGAAGAAUAAAUUUUAUCUUGUAUGGCGAUGGCCGAAGUGAUCCAAGACGGACUCGCUCUUAUACUUGCUUUGCAUUGAACGAAGAUGUUGCGAGUCCUUUAAAGAUCGAUAAUGAAUUCUUACAAAAGUACGUUUAUUGAAAUUCGUAUUAAUUAAGCUCGAAUUUCUAAUCACUUCAACUUUUUUACUCAGUAUAACCUUAAAUUCAAAUUUUGUUACUCAUCCAGCUACAGAGACCAGAAAUUACCUUUCAGACCCUUGAAUCUAAUUAAAAGUAUUAUGAUCAAGUUCCUUAAUUGUACAAACGUUUGCAUUCAGUUCAUGGAAAGGUUUUCGAUAACUAAUGAGGAUUUGAUCAAAAUUCUGCCGAAUUUAACUCUUUUUUAUCUUGGAUAUUUAAAACGUGGGGGAUGCAAAUACUAAAUGUACAACAAUGAUACAAUUGAUAAAUUCUGUCAAUCAACAGGUCGUUGAAUAUCCUUUUACUUGCUUCGCACAUGGAAAUUGCACACUUAGAACUGGUUUAUAUACACGAUACGCAUUGAACGAAGAUGUUGCGAAUCAUUUGAAGACCGGCAACAAAUUCAUUCGGAACUUUUUUUGUUGCGAAAAAAAUGAAUUGAAUUUAUCUUAAAUCAAUUGAUUGUUCAACAUUGGGUUU